AGGCACCGUAAAAUAUAGAUGGAAUAUCUCGCUUGCAUCCGAGUCGAUCUACAAGUUGUCGGGGUUAUUUAUUUUUUAUGUUUACCAAAACGAAACCCUGGUUUGGUUGCUGCAUUGAGAUAGAAGAGGCGGAUCUCCUUGUAUCUCCUGUUUUGAGAACAGAAAUUCACUUGGAAAUUAUUUUUGACCAAAUAUAUUUUUGUCCUUUCUAUAUCUGUUGGCUCUUGUGUACGGGGAAAUUAUCAGUCGAGGCUCCCGUUGGAAAAAACUUUUCAUAAAGAUAACAUAGUCCUGUUAUGUUUAUGUUUCUUCUGUUGCUACAUUCAGUGUUCAAAGGGAAUUUUUUUGCACAUAAAUUGAUAUGCGUAAAGCAAGAACAUUCAAGUUCAAAAUCAAUAAAAUUUUGUAAAG